AUUGAACGCUGGCGGCAGGCCUAACACAUGCAAGUCGAGCGGAUGAUGGGAGCUUGCUCCUGGAUUCAGCGGCGGACGGGUGAGUAAUGCCUAGGAAUCUGCCUGGUAGUGGGGGACAACGUUUCGAAAGGAACGCUAAUACCGCAUACGUCCUACGGGAGAAAGCAGGGGACCUUCGGGCCUUGCGCUAUCAGAUGAGCCUAGGUCGGAUUAGCUAGUAGGUGAGGUAAAGGCUCACCUAGGCGACGAUCCGUAACUGGUCUGAGAGGAUGGUCAGUCACACUGGAACUGAGACACGGUCCAGACUCCUACGGGAGGCAGCAGUGGGGAAUAUUGGACAAUGGGCGAAAGCCUGAUCCAGCCAUGCCGCGUGUGUGAAGAAGGUCUUCGGAUUGUAAAGCACUUUAAGUUGGGAGGAAGGGCAGUAAGUUAAUACCUUGCUGUUUUGACGUUACCGACAGAAUAAGCACCGGCUAACUUCGUGCCAGCAGCCGCCGUAACAC
rnacentral:rRNA from 1 species